rnacentral:rRNA from 1 species
CCUACGGGGGGCUGCAGUGGGGAAUAUUGGACAAUGGGGGCAACCCUGAUCCAGCCAUGCCGCGUGUGUGAAGAAGGCCCUCGGGUUGUAAAGCACUUUCAGUGAGGAAGAACGCCUGGUGGUUAAUACCCAUCAGGAAAGACAUCACUCACAGAAGAAGCACCGGCUAACUCCGUGCCAGCAGCCGCGGUAAUACGGAGGGUGCGAGCGUUAAUCGGAAUUACUGGGCGUAAAGCGCGCGUAGGUGGCUUGAUAAGCCGGUUGUGAAAGCCCCGGGCUCAACCUGGGAACGGCAUCCGGAACUGUCAAGCUAGAGUGCAGGAGAGGAAGGUAGAAUUCCCGGUGUAGUGGUGAAAUGCGUAGAGAUCGGGAGGAAUACCAGUGGCGAAGGCGGCCUUCUGGACUGACACUGACACUGAGGUGCGAAAGCGUGGGUAGCAAACAGGAUUAGAUACCCGAGUAGUC